GAUGAACGCUGGCGGCGUGCCUAAUACAUGCAAGUCGAGCGAACAGACGAGGAGCUUGCUCCUCUGACGUUAGCGGCGGACGGGUGAGUAACACGUGGAUAACCUACCUAUAAGACUGGGAUAACUUCGGGAAACCGGAGCUAAUACCGUAUAAUAUAUUGAACCGCUUUUUUCAUUCGUUAAAGCCGGUUUUUCUUUACUUUAUAGCUGGAUCCUCGCCGCAUUAGCAAUUUGGUAAGGUACCGGCUUACCAAGGCACCGAUGCGUAGCCGACCUGAGAGGGUGAUCGGCCACACUGGAACUGAGACACGGUACAGACUCCUACGGGAGGAAGCAGUAGGGAAUCUUCCGCAAGGGGCGAAAGCGUGACGGAGCAAAGCCGCGUGAGUGAUGAAGGUCUUCGGAUCGUAAAACGAUGUUAGUAGGGAAGAACAAAUGUGUAAGUAACUAUGCACGUCUUGACGGUACCUAAUGAGAAAGCCACGGCUAACUACGUG
rnacentral:rRNA from 1 species